rnacentral:miRNA from 1 species
UCGCCGUGUUAUUUGCGUCUCG